GAUGAACGCUGGCGGCGUGCCUAAUACAUGCAAGUCGAGCGAAGGGACGAGAAGCUUGCUUUUCUGAUGUUAGCGGCGGACGGGUGAGUAACACGUGGAUAACCUACCUAUAAGACUGGGAUAACUUCGGGAAACCGGAGCUAAUACCGGAUAAUAUUUUGAACCGCAUGGUUCAAAAGUGAAAGACGGUCUUGCUGUCACUUAUAGAUGGAUCCGCGCUGGAUUAGCGAGUUGGUAAGGUAACGGCUUACCAAGGCAACGAUGCAUAGCCGCCAUGAGAGGGAGAUCGGCCACACUGGAACUGAGACACGGUCCAGACUCCUACGGGAGGCAGCAGUAGGGAAUCUUCCGCAAUGGGCGAAAGCAUGACGGAGCAACGCCGCGUGAGUGAUGAAGGUCUUCGGAUCGUAAAACUCUGUUAUUAGGGAAGAAAAUAUGUGUAAGUAACUGUGCACACCUUGACGGUACCUAAUCAGAAAGCCACGGCUAACUACGUG
rnacentral:rRNA from 1 species